rnacentral:tRNA from 1 species
GCCUGGCUCAGUCAGUGGAGCGUGAGACUCUCGAUCUCAAGGUUGUGAGUUCAAGCCCCACAUUGGGCA